UCAAAAUUGCUGGUUUUUCUUUUCAAUGCUUUUAUAUAAAUUAAAAACAAUAACCAGUAGCUAAUUCGUUUAGAUGCUACCCAUAAAAGAACACAUACAAAUGUGAAUAAGAACAUAUUAAAAGAAAAUGGAAAAAAAAGGAUUAUAUCCUUUCUUUGUGAAAAAGGACAUUAGGUGGUGGGCUCUCUACUAUGAAAAGAUAAGAGGGAGAUUUUGAUAUUUCAUAAUCAAACAAUUAUAUCAAGGCACUUUCAUUCUGAAAUUGAAGAUCAAAUUUAAAAAAAAAAAUUUAAUCAGUAUGUGUCUACCUUCCAAUAAGAGAAAGCAUGCUACAACAAAUGAUUACAAAGAAAUACAAUAAAAUGAAAUGAGAACUUCAUAGGACAAACAGAUGACUUUCAAAGUUUUGGCAAGGUCAAGAGCAAUUUGACUUGGUGGACUUGCUAGUAGACUUUGGAGAGGUCACAAAACCCUAUACUUUUCAUUAAGUUUUGCUAUCUUGGUACCGAACUCGUAUCCACACCAUCAUAUUAUAGUGUCCAUACACGGUUCAGUAUAGUACAACUGAGUAUACUGAGUGUCGGUAUGGUAUGGUACAAUAUACCGGUUUAGUAUCGGUAUGAUACCGAUGGGUAUGACAAACCUUGCUUUUCAUUAUAAAACCAAUAAUCUAGGAAAAGAUGGAUUGUUUUGUGAAAGAAUCUUUGGACCCACAAAAAGUAUAAUUUGUGCUUGUGGAAGUGUGAAAAACAACACAAAUUUGUGCCUAUGAAUGUUGGCUUGUAGGUCUUUAGGUAAUGAAUCGAUAUUUUUGCUAAGCAGUUAUGCAUGUCUUAGAUACAGUUGAUGCAAGGUAUGGUCUAAUAGAAGGGCUCCACAAUAUGCAGUUUUUGUUUUCAUUUGUUCCUAUUCAAGGCCAACUCCUUCCAAUAGAAAGCAUCUCCAAAUUGUUUUGUGCUGCAUCUCCCCAAGCUUCGUUUAGCUAGGUUCUCUAGCUCUUACCUUCAUGUGAAUGGACAUCUUCAAUAGAAUUUAUAAUAUAACAAUAUGCAAAAUUUCCUGAUAUCCUGCCUAUCCCAUGAGUUUGUAGUGCACUUUCCAGUGUAUGGACAAUUUUGUAAAGGAUAUACACCAAUUGGGGAUAUCUCUUAUUGCAUAGGGGAAUGCGGAAAUCCUUUUGCGUUCAAGGAUUUGGCAGCAUUAUCUAAUUAGCUUAUCAAUCAUCCAGUAACUUCCACAAUUUUAUUCUUCAUAUUGAUAUUUAGCUACACCCAUCACUUAUUUCUUGGAGGAAAGAUUAUUCGUUGACCCUCAAUUGUUAGCACAAAGCUAUUGGGUUAUGGUUGUCUAAAUUUGUCAGAAUAAUCAAGCUCCAAUGCAACAAUUCUAAUGCAUCCUUGUAUAUGUCAGCUUGCAGUCAUAGACAUCACCAUAUACCUUGAAUUUGGCACUUUCUAUGCAUACAUAAGCAUAUAGAAGUACAUCCAUCAACAUCACUGACAUGUGAAUUGAGAUAUAUAUAUUUAUGUAUAGUAUGAAUCUUUAAAAAUAAACGUAGAUUUUGAUCCAACCGCAUGUUCAAGGUUCAGAUCCUAUGAGGAUCCACCAAGAUCUCUAAGGUAUUAAAUUCUACUUGUUCACAGGCACAUGCAAUGCAUGUUAACUCUGAAGAAUAAGAAGGCACAUGUAAUGCAUGUUAACUCUAAAAAAGAUAAAGUUAUGAGAACAAUGAUUUGAUUAGGGAUUAUUAAAAAUAAUAAAAGGACAAUAAUUAAACUAAGAAGAUAAGAGUAAAUUGAAGGCUAUCUAUAUUUAGUUAAAGCUUCCUUAAAUUGCAGGAUUUGUUUAUUUAGAUUCAGAUAUUUUUGCUUGGAAAUGUAUUAAGAGUUCUGGAUCCAGUUUCAAACUCCAUGCUGAUUACCAGGACAUGAAAAGGAGACAGAUUUCUAAGUCCAACUUUCUUUUUCCGAAAAAAGGGGGGAAAGAAGAAGAGUUUCGUCCACCAUUUGGAGGCUGGUUGCCGUCAAAUUCAAUAUAUGUUAGACCCUGAUUAGUUCCAAGAAAGAAUUGUACAUAUGGUACUUGCUUUUCCUUGUGGGUCUUUGGAGUCACAUUCUUGACAAUAUGUUGUUUUUCUGCUGGCCAGGCUUAAUCAGGCCCUACUAGUUGGGCUCCAAACCCAUUAUGAGCCGGCUUGUAGAAAGAAAUGCAUUCUGCUAUGGAUGUUGUAGGAGUCCAUGAAGCAUUGCUCAAAUUAACAAAUGAGUAGUCUCAGUCUAUUUUUUUAUUUUUGGCCUCCCCUUUUUUGAUAGUUUCUGUCACUCUCAUGUGCUGUAUCCAAGGCCAGGCUUAAUCAGGCCCUACUAGUUGGGCUCCAAACCCAUUAUGAGCCGGCUUGUAGAAAGAAAUGCAUUCUGCUAUGGAUGUUGUAGGAGUCCAUGAAGCAUUGCUCAAAUUAACAAAUGAGUAGUCUCAGUCUAUUUUUU